GGCGCAAUGGCGAAGAGGAAACGCGGGUGUCUGCAAAACACCUAUGCGAGGGUUCGAUUCCCUCUUGCGCCU
rfam:Candidatus Gottesmanbacteria bacterium RBG_13_45_10 RBG_13_scaffold_74824, whole genome shotgun sequence.